UUUUUUUUUUUUUUUUUUUUUUUUUUUUGGUGGACGGUUUUAAUGGGAUUAACCCUCCCUGUGUCUGUCAUCCAAUAAGGUUUUUGCCAUCUCUCUAUCACAUGGGAAAGGAUGGAGGGCUCCUUCCAGGUGUAAAAUCCUGGAGGGUGGUUUCCUCCCUGUCUGCCUGCCUUCCAACUAUCCUUCAUCACUGGCAUAUGCUAGAAAUUCAGUAACUGCCAAAUAAACAAAUGGAUGAGAUUAUGCUUUCACCAGCCUCUAUCUUGAAGUCUAGAGAGCAGGGAGAGGCUGCUUAAGAAAUUCUGUAGAAUGAAAGCACCACCAAGUAGAAACAGUCUAUUGGCGCACCACAGGAGACUUUGGCUUUGGGGCAAUCCUUUGUAAGGUCUCUUUCAUUGUAUGUACUGUUAAAUGAUACUUUUGUUUCAGCCUCUCCAAUCCACCUUUUAUCCCCCUAUUUCAAAAGAAAUUUAACAUUUGGGAGGUCCCUAAAAGCUUUGUGGGUCCUAGGCACUGAGCCUUUGUGCCUAAUGGGUAAGUGGUUCUCAUUGGUGCUGGGAGACCGAUUAUUGAAUAUUAUGUUCAUCAUCACUAGUAAGACUUAAAUUGUACAUGAGAAGUAGAAAACUCAAAUGCCUUCAAGCAGGCCAGAUGUGGGGCAUUUGUCCUCUGGUGAACCAAGAGGUUGCUAUGGCUCACCUCCACUGAUUGUUAGACUUCCCUUUUUUUAAAAAAAAUAUUUUUUUCAUGGUUUUAUUUUAUUUUUUAAAUUUAAAUUCAAUUUGCCAACAUACAGUAUAACACCCAGUUCAUCCCAUCAAGUGCCCUCCUUAGUGCUUUCCUAUUUUUUCAAGGAACACUGGAAAACUUAAGUAUAAAAACAUAAAAUCUACCAGUUUUAAAGUGCCAGCUGAAAUUUCAAAGAACAAAAACCUCCUUGGGUGAAGCAAAUAAAACACCUCUGUGGACUGCAUCUGUCACGACUUGCAAUCUCUGUUGAACAUAGCUGCAGGGAAAGCCCUUUUAAACAGAUGACAGGGACUAGAGAACCAACAUUAUUAGGAGACAAAGAGCCUGGUUUUAGUGUGACUGUAAAAAAGUAAUACUAACUGUAGUAAAUUGUAGGAUUUUCUUACUAUUUAGGUGUAGUCCCUUGUCAAUAGUAAUUUUGAAUCUAAAAGUUUCAGAUUCUGUAAUAUUCCAUUCGUAAGAUUCAUGCUACGUCAUCCUCCUUAAUUUGUGGUUUGAGUAAUAGGGCCAAGAUUUUGUGACACAUAUGUGUUGAGGAAAACUUUGCUCAUAAUCAUGAUUGUGAGUUUUUAAAAGUGUAUUUAGUUAGGCCUUAAUAAAGACCUAUGUAUUCCUUCUUGUCAAGUCACAUUUGUCUGGCUUCCUUUGGGACUUCACUGUAUGAAAAAGAAGAGAAGGAAGAAGUCUGUGUUCCUUUAUUUCUAACUCUUUAGGGGAAAUCAUUUGGCAAAAAUUAUCUCUCUGAGAAGUAGAACUUUGGGGAUUUGAAUGAAUAGCAUGCAUUUAUUCACUUUAUAGACACAAUCAGCCUGCAGCACUGCUGGAACAUGGCUAGGCACAGCCAGUCCCACUCCUUCCUUCAUCUCAGCUGAUGAUUUCACUUUCUAACCCUAGAUUGUAAACAAUUAAGGUCUAGUUUGAUGAGCAUUUUGAGUGGGAACCUAUUAGGUUCCUAUGGAAACAGAAGCAGAGUCUCUAUCUUAGGCAGACUUGGUGGCAGGGAGGGAGGUCUGUAAGGCUUUCUGGAGGAAGUGACAUCUUCAGGAAGAGCAUGCAAUUGAUUAUCUUUCAAUUAGAGACCAGGAUGAGGGUGGGAGAAGAAGCCUGGAAUUGAAAAAGUGUGAUAAAAUCUGAAACUUGGAAAUAAAUUCAAUUGGACUGGAGACUGCAGAGCAUCAUUCCAAUUUAAUUUCAAAGCCCAGCACUUGUCACUUUUUGAUUAUGUCCUGUUUGCUUACUUGUUUGUUGUCUGUUCUUCCCUCCCCAUCUGCUCACGCAGAGCAGGAGCCCCAUCUGCUGACUCCUCAAUGCCAGAUCCACAAGACUGCUUUUACUGAAGGCCUGCCAUAGGUCAGAUCCUGUGAUAAGUGCUUCCCUCAUGGUUUUCCCUCUCCCCUCCCCAACACCAACCAGCAGACAAAAUUUUACUUCUUCAGAGUUGGCUCAAAUGCUCCCUUCUCUGUGAAACCUCCCCAUCUCUUUACCCAAUCCUUACUCUCAGAAUUACUUCUUUUAGAGUUCCCACGCUUUGAUUUCUCCUUAGGGCAUCAAUCUAAUCCUGCUGCUCCUUUCCUCCAUUCUUUUAGCUUUGUCUCUGUAAACCUCUUAACACUUUGGACAGGAUUUUACACACAAAACGGGGCUCAAAAAUAUUUUGAAUAACUGAAUUUGGGAGAGAAAGCGAUGAAUCCUUCUUCCCUUCCAGCAGUCCUGAGAGCAAUCUUUUAAAACAUGAAGUCUGACAUGACAGCCCUACUUAACCUUGUUGAAGGCCACUUUUAUCUCAGACUAGAAUUUUUUUUUUUUUUUUUUUAAAUAUUUAUUUAUUUAUGAUAGACAGAGAGAGAGAGGCAGAGACACAGAGCUUUCAAGUGCGCUAGAUUUAGAAUACCGUCUAUUUAUGAUUUUCUCUCAUUCUCCGUCCCUGCAGGUACCCAUUUUGCAGAUCCCCGAACAGUCCAUCGGAAACUCCACUGCUGGAUUCUCAGGUUGGGUCAAACGCUCCUUUUUCUCCACUUUCCAGGCACCGUUCUAUGCGAAAAGUAACGUAGAGCAAGUUGCGAGUUCGCCUUUCGCGCGCUAUGGGGUUACGCUCCGGGGCUGUCGCAAAACCCGUCUUGGGCCGCUGAGCGCGGGACACCCCCCCCGCCCCGCCCCCGGACCCAGCGCGUAUCUUCUCUAAGGAUCCUUUCCCUCCUCACCCAGGAAAUUCAACUGGCUCGCGCCUAUCGGGGGCUGGCGCCGGGAAACAAGUGAAACCUCAGCCGGUCCUGAAGGUCAGCACGAGGAGACGCUCCAAAAUCCCAGAACCGCAC
rnacentral:lncRNA from 1 species